rnacentral:rRNA from 1 species
UACGGGGGGGGCAAGCGUUGUUCGGAAUUACUGGGCGUAAAGGGUUUGUAGGUGGCCAACUUAGUCAGACGUGAAAUCCCUCAGCUUAACUGGGGAACUGCGUCUGAUACUGGAUGGCUUGAGUGCAGGAGAGGAACGCGGAAUUCCAGGUGUAGCGGUGAAAUGCGUAGAUAUCUGGAGGAACACCGGUGGCGAAGGCGGCGUUCUGGACUGCAACUGACACUGAGGAACGAAAGCCAGGGGAGCAAACGGG